GGGCAUAUGGUGUAGGGGUUAUCACGUUCGCUUUGCAUGAGAUUUGAGGUCAUUGUCCUGCGAAAGGUCUCCGGUUCAAAUCCGGAUUUGUCCA